GAGCGCCUCGCCAUUCCCGAAAUCUUCUGGCCGCUGGCUCUUUGCCGCCAGAUCUGGACACAAAGGAAGAGCCAGCAAUGAUAUCUCCAGAUGCUGACAAGCUUGUAGGACUUACAGAGGACUGUUCACAAGGCCAACCAGAGGCCUAAGAGCCAACCCUGUCCAAGUCCUUAGGAGAGGCUCUGCAGUAGACCCUGCGCCAGAACUGGGAGGAACAUGUUUCUUCAGCACUCUGCCAUCUCCAUGAGAACAAGCCCAUGUUAGCCUGCCGGAGGAUGAGAUAGCACAGGGAGGAGAACCAAGUUGCCUCAGUGGACACCCAGCCCACCCCCAGAAGCAGAGCAACCUAGUCAACCAACAGCUGACCACACAUGCCUGAAGCACCCCAGCUGAGAACAGAAGAAUGGCCCAGCUGAGCCCAGCCUUAAUGGCUCACCAGCUCAAUUAUGAGCUAAAUUUUGGGGUGGUUUGUUAUGCAGCAAUAGCUAACUAACACCCAGUGCAGGUAGGAUGCCAGGAUUCAAUUGUAGGUUGACUACUAGUUACCUGGCAAACUAGGGACCUUUAUAGGUACUGAAUUUUCUUCCCUGUAUUUAAAGUUGGAUCUCUUGUUAGAUGAUGUUGAGUAAUAAAGAAAUGCAUGUGGACAAAGAUGCAUGUAAUUGGUGCUUAAACUUACACAGCCCCCCACACCACAGGAAGAAACAGACAAACACUGCCUGACCAUUAGAGCCAGGGCCAAAUUGCAGGAUAGAUUACCUAUAAUCUAUUCCCUCCACAUCUAAACUCUGGAGGUCAAGGCUGUGGACAGAUUUGAAGACAUGGAGUGUCCUCCUCCUGGGGCCUCAUGUCCUUUGUUCACUGUGUGAUCUCUAGAAAAGGGAUGACCUCCUACCAAGCAGCAGGUGAGCACCGGUGGUCUACCCGUGGACACUUCCUGAUUGCAGCCCUCUGCUCUCUCU